UGGGGGAUAUUGCACAAUGGGCGAAAGCCUGAUGCAGCGACGCCGCGUGGGGGAUGAAGGCCUUCGGGUUGUAAACUUCUUUUGCUCUGAACAAGGCGCACCAUGGGGUGUGUUGAGUGUAGGGGUUGAUUAGCGCCGGCUAACUACGUGCCAGCAGCCGCGGUAAUACGUAGGGCGCGAGCGUUGUCCGGAAUUAUUGGGCGUAAAGGGCUUGUAGGUGGCUGGUUGCGUCUGUCGUGAAAGCUCAUGGCUUUACUGUGGGUUUGCGGUGGGUACGGGCUGGCUUGAGUGCAGUAGGGGAGGCUGGAAUUCCUGGUGUAGCGGUGGAAUGCGCAGAUAUCAGGAGGAAUACCGGUGGCGAAGGCGGGUCUCUGGGCUGUUACUGACACUGAGGAGCGAAAGCAUGGGGAGCGAACAGG
rnacentral:rRNA from 1 species